GAUGAACGCUAGCGACGUGCCUAAGAUAUGCAAGUCGAACGAUCAACGGUUUCUAGCAAUAGAGACCCGCGAGAGUGGCAGACGGCUGAGUAAUACAUAGGAACCUACCCCGAACUCGGGUAUAGCCCGCCGAAAGGCUGGAUAAUCCCCGAUAGUCUCGCAAGAGUAAAGCUCCGGCGGUUUGGGACGGGCCUGUGGCCUAUCAGGUUGUUGGUGGGGUAAAAGCCUACCAAGCCUAUGACGGGUAGGGGGUCUGAGAGGAUGAUCCCCCAGACUGGGACUGAGACACGGCCCAGACUCCUACGGGAGGCAGCAAUUAGGAAUCGUGCGCAAUGGGCUAACGCCUGACGCCGCGACGUCGCGUGGAGGAUGAAGGUCCUAGGAUCGUAAACUCCUUUUCUCAGGGAACAAGUUCUGAGUGUACCUGAGGAAUAAGCAGCUGCAAACUUCGUGCCAGAAGCAUCGGUAAUACGUGGGCUGCGAGCGUUAUCCGGAUUUACUGGCGU
rnacentral:rRNA from 1 species